rnacentral:rRNA from 1 species
GAUGAACGCUAGCUACAGGCUUAACACAUGCAAGUCGACGGUCAUCAGGAAGAAAGCUUGCUUUCUUUGCUGGCGACCGGCGCACGGGUGAGUAACACGUAUCCAACCUGCCCUUUACUCGGGGAUAGCCUUUCGAAAGAAAGAUUAAUACCCGAUGGCAUAAUGAUUCCGCAUGGUUUCAUUAUUAAAGGAUUCCGGUAAAGGAUGGGGAUGCGUUCCAUUAGGUUGUUGGUGAGGUAACGGCUCACCAAGCCUUCGAUGGAUAGGGGUUCUGAGAGGAAGGUCCCCCACAUUGGAACUGAGACACGGUCCAAACUCCUACGGGAGGCAGCAGUGAGGAAUAUUGGUCAAUGGGCGCUAGCCUGAACCAGCCAAGUAGCGUGAAGGAUGAAGGCUCUAUGGGUCGUAAACUUCUUUUAUAUAAGAAUAAAGUGCAGUAUGUAUACUGUUUUGUAUGUAUUAUAUGAAUAAGGAUCGGCUAACUCCGUGCCAGCAGCCGCGGUAAUACGGAGGAUCCGAGCGUUAUCCGGAUUUAUUGGGUUUAAAGGGAGCGUAGGUGGACUGGUAAGUCAGUUGUGAAAGUUUGCGGCUCAACCGUAAAAUUGCAGUUGAUACUGUCAGUCUUGAGUACAGUAGAGGUGGGCGGAAUUCGUGGUGUAGCGGUGAAAUGCUUAGAUAUCACGAAGAACUCCGAUUGCGAAGGCAGCUCACUGGACUGCAACUGACACUGAUGCUCGAAAGUGUGGGUAUCAAACAGGAUUAGAUACCCUGGUAGUCCACACAGUAAACGAUGAAUACUCGCUGUUUGCGAUAUACAGUAAGCGGCCAAGCGAAAGCAUUAAGUAUUCCACCUGGGGAGUACGCCUGCAACGGUGAAACUCAAAGGAAUUGACGGGGGCCCGCACAAGCGGAGGAACAUGUGGUUUAAUUCGAUGAUACGCGAGGAACCUUACCCGGGCUUAAAUUGCAGUGGAAUGAUGUGGAAACAUGUCAGUGAGCAAUCACCGCUGUGAAGGUGCUGCAUGGUUGUCGUCAGCUCGUGCCGUGAGGUGUCGGCUUAAGUGCCAUAACGAGCGCAACCCUUAUCUUUAGUUACUAACAGGUCAUGCUGAGGACUCUAGAGAGACUGCCGUCGUAAGAUGUGAGGAAGGUGGGGAUGACGUCAAAUCAGCACGGCCCUUACGUCCGGGGCUACACACGUGUUACAAUGGGGGGUACAGAAGGCAGCUAGCGGGUGACCGUAUGCUAAUCCCAAAAUCCUCUCUCAGUUCGGAUCGAAGUCUGCAACCCGACUUCGUGAAGCUGGAUUCGCUAGUAAUCGCGCAUCAGCCACGGCGCGGUGAAUACGUUCCCGGGCCUUGUACACACCGCCCGUCAAGCCAUGGGAGCCGGGGGUACCUGAAGUACGUAACCGCAAGGAUCGUCCUAGGGUA